rnacentral:rRNA from 1 species
UACGUAGGGGGCUAGCGUUGUCCGGAAUCAUUGGGCGUAAAGCGCGCGUAGGCGGCCAGAUAAGUCCGGUGUGAAAGUCACAGGCUCAACCUGUGAAUGCCGCUGGAAACUGUCUGGCUUGAGUCCGGAAGGGGCGAGUGGAAUUCCUGGUGUAGCGGUGAAAUGCGCAGAUAUCAGGAGGAACGCCAACUAGGCGAAGGCGGGUCUCUGGGCCGACACUGACGCUGAGGAGCGAAAGCGUGGGGAGCGAACAGG